UAUGAAUGCCCCCAGCAUGAGCUGUGCUGUCCAACAAGGUAAACUCAUGCAAUGGGAUUGUCGUAAAGGAAGGGAAAUGGGACGUUCUCUGAGUUCUGACUCUCCCUUUGAAGAACCACCAAGACCAGUGAAAAGACCUCAAAGUUUGCACGUGGGCUGGUUCUGCACGGGAGUCAGCGAGAGCUGCAGGGAGCGGAGGAGUUCACCCACGAGGGAUUUCCUGCAGCCUACCCCAGCAAAGCUGCUGAGAAAUAAAUGAGACAUAAAUGAAAUAAAUGAGUGUCCGCUCCUGAGAGUAGGCA
rnacentral:lncRNA from 1 species